rnacentral:rRNA from 1 species
CACGUAGGGCGCAAGCGUUGUCCGGAAUUAUUGGGCGUAAAGAGCUCGUAGGCGGUCCGUCACGUCCGCUGUGAAAACCCAGGGCUCAACCCUGGGCUUGCAGUGGAUACGGGCAGACUAGAGGUAGGUAGGGGAGAAUGGAAUUCCCGGUGUAGCGGUGAAAUGCGCAGAUAUCGGGAGGAACACCGGUGGCGAAGGCGGCUAUCUGGGUGAACACUGACGCUGUUGCACGAAAGCGUGGGGAGCAAACAGG